GGGGUUGUAGUUAAACAUAACAUUUGAAUUGCAAUCAAAAAGUACUGUACUCAUAAGUCUUCCUUA
rnacentral:tRNA from 1 species